GCCUGGGUGGCUCAGCCGGUUAAGCGUCCGACUUCGGCUCAGGUCUUGAUCUCACGGUUCGUGGGUUCGAGCCCCGCCUCGGGCU
rnacentral:tRNA from 1 species